UGGGGAAUAUUGCACAAUGGAGGGAACUCUGAUGCAGCGACGCCGCGUGAACGAAGAAGGCUUUCGAGUCGUAAAGCUCUUUUAUAUGGGAAGAUAAUGACGGUACCAUAAGAAAAAGCCCCGGCUAACUACGUGCCAGCAGCCGCGGUAAUACGUAGGGGGCUAGCGUUGUCCGGAAUCACUGGGCGUAACGGGUUCGGAGGCGGAAAUGCAAGUCAGGUGUAAAAGGCAGUAGCUUAACUACUGUAAGCAUUUGAAACUGCAUAUCUUGAGAAGAGUAGAGGUAAGUGGAAUUUUUAGUGUAGCGGUGAAAUGCGUAGAUAUUAAAAGGAAUACCGGUGGCGAAGGCGACUUACUGGGCUCAUUCUGACGCUGAGGAACGAAAGCGUGGGUAGCAAACAGG
rnacentral:rRNA from 1 species